AUUGAACGCUGGCGGCAGGCCUAACACAUGCAAGUCGAGCGAGUGGCGGACGGGUGAGUAAUGUCUGGGGAACUGCCCGAUGGAGGGGGAUCACUACUGGAAACGGUGGCUAAUACCGCAUACUAUCGGAUGAACCCAUAUGGGAUUAGCUAGUGGGUGGGGUAAAGGCUCACCUAGGCGACGAUCCCUAGCUGGUCUGAGAGGAUGACCAGCCACACUGGGACGGAGACACGGUCCAGACUCCUACGGGAGGCAGCAGUGGGGAAUAUUGCACAAUGGGCGAAAGCCGGAUGCAGCCAUGCCGCGUGUAUGAAGAAGGCCUUAGGGUUGUAAAGUACUUUCAGCGAGGAGGCGUUACCCGCAGAAGAAGCACCGGCUAACUCCGUGCCAGCAGCCGCGGUAAUAC
rnacentral:rRNA from 1 species